GACGUAGGGCGCGAGCGUUGUCCGGAUUUAUUGGGCGUAAAGAGCUCGUAGGCGGCUUGUCGCGUCGACCGUGAAAACUUGGGGCUCAACCCCAAGCCUGCGGUCGAUACGGGCAGGCUCGAGUUCGGUAGGGGAGACUGGAAUUCCGUGGUGUAGCGGUGAAAUGCGCAGAUAUCAGGAGGAACACCGGUGGCGAAGGCGGGUCUCUGGGCCGAUACUGACGCUGAGGAGCGAAAGCGUGGGGAGCGAACAGG
rnacentral:rRNA from 1 species